GCCCCCGUAAUUCAAUGGAUAGAAUGGAGGCCUCCGGAGCCUCAAAUGUAGGUUCGAUUCCUACCGGGGGCA
rfam:Parcubacteria group bacterium CG1_02_39_15 cg1_0.2_scaffold_1253_c, whole genome shotgun sequence.